CCAUUGAUGUAGUCACGCCAGAAUGCAUCGAGCCCGUCUCCUCUUGAGGGUGACGUAGGGCAGCAGGUCGUGGCGAGUGAUGAUGCGCAGCAGCUGCAGCACCUGGCGAAAGUUACUUUCAUCACAGCGGCCCUGGCGCUCCAGUGCCAAUAAGAAGUCACGUCCAUUUCGGAUGAGUCCACGCUCGUGGUCAUCAAUGACAUCAACAAAGAGGAAAGAAAGCACGCGCACAUCUCUGUGUGUCAGAUGAGUGCCCACGAUGUCAAACAUGCGGUGCAGGCUGUACAGCCCAUGUUCCUGCUCACCAUGCUCUUCUGGCCACACCUGGCUUGCCCGCCGCUUUAGGCCCGCCAUGCUGGGGGCUCAGGUACGCAAUGCUUUCCAGAAUCCCUGCUCAGCAGCUGCAAUCCCCACCGUACUGAAAGGGCAGGGAAAGAACCGAUGAGACACUCAAGGGCAGGAACUAGUCUCAUGCAUUCCCAUAUUCCCAGUUGCUAACAAUGCCUGGCACAGUAUAGUGCUUUAUACAUGUUUAUUAAAUUUUUGAAGUGUUUGUUUAAAAAUAAACACUGGCCAGGCACAGGGGCUCACACCUGUAAUCCCAGCAUUUUGGGAGGCCAAGGCAGGAGGAUCACUUGAGCCCAGGCGUUUAAGACCAGCCUGGGCAACAUAGGGAGACCCGUUUCUACAAAAAAAGAAAAAA
rnacentral:lncRNA from 10 species